rnacentral:rRNA from 1 species
UACGUAGGGUGCAAGCGUUGUCCGGAAUUAUUGGGCGUAAAGAGCGUGUAGGCGGCCCGAUUAGUCCGCUGUGAAAGUCCAGGGCUCAACCCUCGAAUGCCGGUGGAUACUGUCGGGCUUGAGUACGGGAGAGGCGAGUGGAAUUCCUGGUGUAGCGGUGAAAUGCGCAGAUAUCAGGAGGAACACCGAUUGCGAAGGCAGCUCGCUGGAACGUUACUGACGCUGAGACGCGAAAGCGUGGGGAGCAAACAGG